rnacentral:rRNA from 1 species
AUUGAACGCUGGCGGCAGGCCUAACACAUGCAAGUCGAGCGGAGCGGCGGACGGGUGCGGAAUGCCUAUGAAUCUGCCUGGUCGUGGGGGAUAACGUCCGGAAACGGGCGCUAAUACCGCAUCCUAUCACUUUAGCCUAGGUCGGAUUAGCUAGUGGGUGGGGUAAAGGCCUACCAAGGCGACGAUCCGUAACUGGUCUGAGAGGAUGAUCAGUCACACUGGAACUGAGACACGGUCCAGACUCCUACGGGAGGCAGCAGUGGGGAAUAUUGGACAAUGGGCGAAAGCCUGAUCCAGCCAUGCCGCGUGUGUGAAGAAGGUCUUCGGAUUGUAAAGCACUUUAAGUUGGGAGGCGUUACCAACAGAAUAAGCACCGGCUAACUUCGUGCCAGCAGCCGCGGUAAUAC